rnacentral:rRNA from 1 species
UCCUACGGGAGGCAGCAGUGGGGAAUAUUGCACAAUGGGCGCAAGCCUGAUGCAGCAACGCCGCGUGAGGGACGAAGGCCUUCGGGUUGUAAACCUCUUUUAGUAGGGAAGAAGCGACUGGGUUUUCCUGGGAGUGACGGUACCUGCAGAAAAAGCACCGGCUAACUACGUGCCAGCAGCCGCGGUAAUACGUAGGGUGCAGCGUUGUCCGGAAUUAUUGGGCGUAAAGAGCUCGUAGGCGGUUUGUCGCGUCUGCUGUGAAAACCCGAGGCUCAACCUCGGGCCUGCAGUGGGUACGGGCAGACUAGAGUGCGGUAGGGGAGAUUGGAAUUCCUGGUGUAGCGGUGGAAUGCGCAGAUAUCAGGAGGAACACCAAUGGCGAAGGCAGAUCUCUGGGCCGUAACUGACGCUGAGGAGCGAAAGCAUGGGGAGCGAACAGGAUUAGAUACCCUGGUAGUCCAUGCCGUAAACGUUGGGAACUAGAUGUGGGGACCAUUCCACGGUCUCCGUGUCGCAGCUAACGCAUUAAGUUCCCCGCCUGGGGAGUACGGCCGCAAGGCUAAAACUCAAAGGAAUUGACGGGGGCCCGCACAAGCGGCGGAGCAUGCGGAUUAAUUCGAUGCAACGCGGAGAACCUUACCAAGGCUUGACAUAUACCGGAAACGGCUGGAAACAGUCGCCCCGCAAGGUCGGUAUACAGGUGGUGCAUGGUUGUCGUCAGCUCGUGUCGUGAGAUGUUGGGUUAAGUCCCGCAACGAGCGCAACCCUCGUCCUAUGUUGCCAGCACGUAAUGGUGGGAACUCAUGGGAUACUGCCGGGGUCAACUCGGAGGAAGGUGGGGAUGACGUCAAAUCAUCAUGCCCCUUAUGUCUUGAGCUUCACGCAUGCUACAAUGGCCGGUACAAAGGGCUGCGAUACCGCAAGGUGGAGCGAAUCCCAAAGAGCCGGUCUCAGUUCGGAUUGAGGUCUGCAACUCGACCUCAUGAAGUCGGAGUCGCUAGUAAUCGCAGAUCAGCAACGCUGCGGUGAAUACGUUCCCGGGCCUUGUACACACCGC